UUCCUUCACACGUUUUACAUUCUCCAUCAUUGACUGACUGCCUCAGCUGUGGAGCAGAGCAUGAAACCAGCUGACAGCACUAACCAACUCUAUCAUCUCCACUAGAGGGAGGGCUAUCUCACAACAAGGCCACCAUGGAGCUGCAGUAGAGAAGAAGAGAGUGCCUGAUCUGCUAACACACAGUCCUGAUACACAGCAGCUGCCGCCAUACGCCCAGGCCCAAGGCAAAGAAAAACACAAAUGUCAGUCAGGAUGGGGAAAGGUUACGGGGAACCCAGGAGCGCAAUACUGUUAAUUUGCUCCCUGGAGUCCAAGGAGUCAACCAGCAGAGUGAUCUGGCUUCGCUAACUCCUGAGAUAUAUCCAAAAUACCACCUCCUCCAGCAGCCUGCAGCCAUGACAUGGAAAGUGAACUAACUUCAACCUUUCACUUUGAGAGUUUAUUCUUAGGUUCACCUCAGUUCAUUAAAAGAAUAUUUUUUGUAGCAAGGCAACACAAUACCAAAUGCAACAUAAAGAUAGUACUGUGUGUUAAUUUUGUAAAGAUACUAAACGCAUGAUGCUGAAGCUGCAACUCAAAGAAUAAAGUAAAAAAAUGAAAUGC